GGAAGAUGUUGUUUGGCGACCCGGUGGAACCCAGUCUGCUGUAGAAGCUGUAGAUGGACCUCAGCUCUGCGUUGUUCCUCAGAACAGCAAACUCCACCUGCAAACACAGGGACAAGAACAUGGAUGUUCUCCAGGAGACGUUCAAUGUUCAAGGUCAUAUCUGGCCCCAAGACGGAGGAACCACUGCGAGACAGAAGAACGGCACCUGUGACAGGAGUGGGGAGAAGGUCCAGGUCAGUCUGGGGAGAUGAUGUCCAGGUUGGCCAGGUGUCUCAUGGUGGGCCGACCAUGCGGGCAGUUCCAAGGAUGCUCAAUUUCCCCCAUGUGGACGACGAGCUUCUUCAUCUCGCUG